UGCUGUUUGUAAUUUAAAAAAUAGAGAUCAGUUUAGAAAUCAACCAAGAACACCCAAAACGCCCAAAAUCUGAUACCAAAUGAUACGGGGUUGCGUGCGGACCAAGAUCGAGUUGUCAAGUCACGAGAAACUCCUACGAAAACCCUAAACAAUUAGAUCUGAAACGAAACAGAAAAUUAAAAGAUUAGAUUUUUGAAUUUUCAGAUCUGAAAUAAAAUCCCCAAAUCAGCAAAGAAUCAAAUUGAGAAUAGAAAUAAGUGUUAGGGUUCUUGAAACCCUCAAGGAGAUUGUGAUUCUGCCCAAUUGAACACCAAGAUAGUUUUCCCCAAAUUUCGACAAUCUAAUUUCACCCAAAACGAGUAUGGAAAAACCCUAGAAAUUGGGGAUUUUUGGGCUGAUUCCUUAAGAUAGAAAAAGGCUGAAAACACAAUAAGAACAGAAAAUAGAUUAGAUAAUGAUUCAGCACAAGUAGAAAUAAAGAAAGAAUUGACAGUAAGAAAUUAAAAGAUAAGUCCUAAGAAGCCUUGAAAUCUCGAAAGAUCUCACAACUCCCUUCAAACGGCUCUAAUCUCCCCUCCAAAGAAUAUCAAUGGCAAGAAGAAGGUUGAAGAUGGCUCCCA
rnacentral:lncRNA from 1 species